GCGCCUGUAGCUCAAUGGAUCAGAGCAUCUGUCUUCGGAACAGAGGGUUGGAGGUUCGAGUCCUCCCAGGCGCA
rnacentral:tRNA from 1 species